AACGAACGCUGGCGGCGUGCCUAACACAUGCAAGUCGAACGAGGCCUUCGGGUCUAGUGGCGCACGGGUGCGUAACGCGUGGGAAUCUGCCCUUGGGUUCGGAAUAACUCAGAGAAAUUUGAGCUAAUACCGGAUGAUGACGAAAGUCCAAAGAUUUAUCGCCCAAGGAUGAGCCCGCGUAAGAUUAGCUUGUUGGUGGGGUAAUGGCCUACCAAGGCGGCGAUCUUUAGCUGGUCUGAGAGGAUGAGCAGCCACACUGGGACUUAGACACGGCCCAGACUCCUACGGGAGGCAGCAGUGGGGAAUAUUGGACAAUGGGCGAAAGCCUGAUCCAGCAAUGCCGCGUGAGUGAUGAAGGCCUUAGGGUUGUAAAGCUCUUUUACCAGGGAUGAUAAUGACAGUACCUGGAGAAUAAGCUCCGGCUAACUCCGUGCCAGCAGCCGCAGUAA
rnacentral:rRNA from 1 species